rnacentral:lncRNA from 1 species
CUGGUCCUGCGUCGCCAUGUUUCUCCAAACAGCACCGUGACUUCGUUUGGAUGCUUUCCGGGGCUGCGGAGCUGGAUUUUCUGAAGUGCGGUUUAAUGCUUACAGCUGCAACUGAAAUCAUGGAAACUGUUCUUUGAAUAUACUCAUGGCUAUAAAAAAGAAAUGGCAAAUUUUGCUGUUAGCUACCAUGUAACUUUUAGCUUUGAUCUACUAUGUCCAUCUGAGAUGGG